rnacentral:rRNA from 1 species
UACAGAGGUCUCAAGCGUUGUUCGGAUUCAUUGGGCGUAAAGGGUGCGUAGGGUGGCGCCGUAAGUCGGGUGUGAAAUUUCGGGAGCUUAACUCCGAAACUGCAUUCGAUACUGCGGUGCUUUGAGGACUGGAGAGGAGACUGGAAUUCAUGGUGUAGCAGUGAAUGCGUAGAGAUCAUGAGGAAGACCAGUGGCGAAGGCGGUCUCUGGACAGUUUCCUGACACUGAGGCACGAAGGCCCAGGGAGCAAACGGG